rnacentral:rRNA from 1 species
UGCGUAACGCGUAUGCAACCUACCUUUUACUGAGGAAUAGCCCCGAGAAAUUGGGAUUAAUACCUCAUAAUAUCAUAAAACAGCAUUGUUUAAUGAUUAAAACUCCGGUGGUAAAAGAUGGGCAUGCGUGACAUUAGUUUGUUGGUGAGGUAACGGCUCACCAAGACUACGAUGUCUAGGGGUUCUGAGAGGAUUAUCCCCCACACUGGUACUGAGACACGGACCAGACUCCUACGGGAGGCAGCAGUGAGGAAUAUUGGGCAAUGGACGAAAGUCUGACCCAGCCAUGCCGCGUGCAGGAUGACGGCCCUAUGGGUUGUAAACUGCUUUUAUAUGGGAAGAAACCCAAGGACGUGUCCUUGGCUGACGGUACCAUACGAAUAAGGAUCGGCUAACUCCGUGCCAGCAGCCGCGGUAAUACGGAGGAUCCAAGCGUUAUCCGGAUUUAUUGGGUUUAAAGGGUGCGCAGGCGGCCUUAUAAGUCAGUGGUGAAAUCUCCCGGCUCAACCGGGAAACUGCCAUUGAUACUGUAAGGCUAGAAUACAGACGAGGUAGGCGGAAUGUAGCAUGUAGCGGUGAAAUGCUUAGAUAUGCUA